UAAUUCUAGUAAGCCGAGGAGUUGUGGCAGACCUGGAGAUGGGAAUGGAGGGGAAACAAGGUAGCCAAGUCAGGUUUUUAUGAGGAGGGAAACUAGGAACUGGAGGCUUCAAUAAUAUUAAGAAUUAGGAGUGUACUUUUAUCUCUUCUGCCAAACUAGACAGAACUGCUCCAGUUUCAGCACCAUGGACAGAAGGUGACACUUGAAAGUUAUGUUGGGGCCUUGACCUGAGUCAUCCAUGCCUCCAGCAAAAAACAACAGUGCUAAGUUGGGUCCUACUGAUCUGCCCCCAUUAUAGACAUAUGGGGAAAAUGGUUUGGAGGAAGCUUAAGGAGGAAGAAGAGCAGAGUCUCCUGCCAAUAAUUAAGAGAAUGAUAACUGUUAUAGAGCACCAGGAUGGUAGAGAAUGACUCAAACCCAAGUGGGUGUCUAGGGUUUGGGAAGGAAAUGGUGACACUAUUUGGGGUCCCCAGGAGCCUUCCCUCAUGGGAACAUUUUUGGUUUGCUUCUUCUAAUAAAUCAGCCAUUGAGUAGAUAGCCAUGGGUGCCCAAUCUAAUUGCAAUGAACUCUCCGAAUUCUUUGCAUUAGAAUCCUGCUGUUUUGGUUGUCAGUCAGAAGCGGAACAUCAUUCGAAGUUUAAAAUCUUUGUGGUUGCAGAGAGAUUGUUGUUGUAAUGGCCUUCGUCUGAGCUGUAAGUCAGGUAAAGAUAAGGAUAUCACGUUUAAUUAUAACUGAAAUUUUGUUAACUGUUAAUCAAAAAAAGGGAAAUGGGUAAAAGGAAGUACUUUUAACAUUUCUCUUUUCUCUCUCUCUCUCUUUUUACUUUUACCAUUUCUUAGAAAAGUACAGUGGAUGCUAAACGCCCCAACAAGAAGGCUAGAGGGGCAGAUGCUCGAUUUGAUCAAGUACAGAGAUGCAACAGUGAAAGGUCCUUCAUUGCAAUAAAGAUUAAAAAUGAAAGAGUGCAACCAGGUCUGGCAGUACAUCCACAUCCGUUGUCCCCGAGCAGGAGACUGAGGGAGAUGAUUCUGGGAGCUUCAUGGACUCUGGAGGAGCUAGAAAUGGAGGAUAACUUCUGUUCCAUCCCUCGACCCAGGUAUUUGCAUUUAAAAUAAUGUUUCUGAAUUCAAAUAAAGGAAUCAGCCAUGGUGGAAUUUCUGG
rnacentral:lncRNA from 1 species